rnacentral:rRNA from 1 species
GACGAACGCUGGCGGCGUGCUUAACACAUGCAAGUCGAACGGAAAGGCCCUGCUUUUGUGGGGUGCUCGAGUGGCGAACGGGUGAGUAACACGUGAGUAACCUGCCCUUGACUUUGGGAUAACUUCAGGAAACUGGGGCUAAUAUCGGAUAGGAGCUCCUGCUGCAUGGUGGGGGUUGGAAAGUUUCGGCGUUUGGGGAUGGAUUCGCGGCUUAUCAGCUGGUUGGGGGGGUAGUGGCGUACCAAGGCUUUGACGGGUAGCCGACCUGGGAGGGUGACCGGCGACAUUGGGACUGAGAUACGGCCCAGACUCCUACGGGAGGCAGCAGUGGGGAAUAUUACACAAUGGGCGGAAGCCUGAUGCAGCAACGCCGCGUGCGGGAUGACGGCCUUCGGGUUGUAAACCGCUUUCGCCUGUGACGAAGCGUGAGUGACGGUAAUGGGUAAAGAAGCACCGGCUAACUACGUG